rnacentral:rRNA from 1 species
GACGAAGGGGGCUAGCGUUGUUCGGAAUUACUGGGCGUAAAGCGCGUGUAGGCGGUUGUCCCAGUUGGAUGUGAAAGCCUUGAGCUUAACUCAAGAAAUGCAUUCAGGACUGGAUGACUAGAGGACCGGAGAGGAUAGUGGAAUUCCGCGUGUAGCAGUGAAAUGCGUAGAUAUGCGGAGGAACACCGAUGGCGAAGGCAAUCCCCUGGACCUGUACUGACGCUCAUGCACGAAAGCGUGGGGAGCAAACAGG